rnacentral:lncRNA from 1 species
AAAAGUUACAUAAAAAAUUGUACAAUUAAGAAUAAGUGCUGAUAACAUGAUUCAGAAUACCAAGUUAAACCAGAAGUGAAUGUAUAACAAAGGAAUAAUGCUUCGAAUGCUGCUCUUCAUCUUCAUGGUCACUGGUAGAUCUCAGCAAUGAGAAUUUAUGGGUGUAAAUACUACAUGCAAUAUAAACUAAAGAAGAACACCCAGUUUUGUCGCACCUUCUAAGGCAGCAACCAUUUGAUUUUCUGGGAGGG